GCGAGAGGAGAGUGUGUGUGGAGUCUGUGUGAGAGGAGUGUGUGUGUGGAGUCAGUACGAGAGGAGUGUGUGUGUGGAGUCUGUGUGAGAGGAGUGUGUGUGUGGAGUCUGUGCGAGAGGAGUGUGUGUGUGGAGUCAGUGUGAGAGGAGAGUGUGUGUGGAGUCAGUGCGAGAGGAGAGUGUGUGUGUGGAGUCUGUGUGAGAGGAGUGUGUGUGUGGAGUCAGUACAAGAUGAGUGUUUGUGUGGAGUCUGUGUGAGAGGGUUGUGUGUGUGGAGUCUGUGUGAGAGGAGUGUGUGUGUGGAGUCUGUGUGGGAGGAGUGUGUGUGUGGAGUCAGUACGAGAGGAGAGUGUGUGUGGAGUCUGUGUGAGAGGAGAGUGUGUGUGGAGUCAGUGCGAGAGGAGAG
ensembl:lncRNA